rnacentral:rRNA from 1 species
GGCUUAGAGUUUGAUCCUGGCUCAGAUUGAACGCUGGCGGUAUGCUUAACACAUGCAAGUCGAACGAUGAGAAAGAGCUUGCUCUUUCGAUUAGUGGCGGACGGGUGCGUAACGCGUAGGAAUCUGCCUAUUAGUGGGGGACAACUUAGGGAAACUUAAGCUAAUACCGCAUGCGCCCUACGGGGGAAAGGAGGGGAUCGCAAGACCUUUCGCUAAUAGAUGAGCCUGCGUAGGAUUAGCUUGUUGGUAGGGUAACGGCCUACCAAGGCUACGAUGUCUAGGGGUUCUGAGAGGAAGGUCCCCCACACUGGUACUGAGACACGGACCAGACUCCUACGGGAGGCAGCAGUGAGGAAUAUUGGUCAAUGGGCGUAAGCCUGAACCAGCCAUCCCGCGUGCAGGAAGACG